CAGGAGCGGAGCGUCCCUAAUCUCUGCGUAAACCAAGGGGAGUUCUCAGGAGUUAGCCGAUAGGAAAGCUUAGAAGAUUUUCAAAGCUGAAAGCAUUUUUAAAGCAGUAAAUGCGUUACAUCAACUACUUGAAUUUUCUGCUGGAUCAGAAGGGAAGUAAAACGGCACAUGAAGUUAAAACCAGGAUAUCCAAGAAGACAGAUGACUCUGUCCACAUUGAUUUCUGAUGUGUCUUUGGCUGAGUGUUUAGCUCUUUGGAAAUGGGACUGUCCCUCAACAAGUGCAUGCAGUACCACACAAAAGAGAAUUCCUGGAGGGUUAAAGCCCUGCUGUAGAGAUAACCUCUUCUCUGACUCCUGUAAUGGGUGAUAUUUGCCUUGCAGUCUGUAGUCCAGUGGUUACAGUACAGUCUAAGCUUCUGCUUCAAUCAGAAGUGAAUUUAUUUGCUAGUGAAUGUGAC